AACACCAAGAAUCAGUGACCAGAGACCAGAGGUGGUCCAGGACCUGGUUCUGAGACAUUAGAGGAAAAACAGUCAGUACCAAUAAUCAAUAAUCAGGGACCAGAGGUGGUCCAGGACCUGGUUCUGAGACAUUAGAGGAAAAACAGUCAGUACCAAUAAUCAAUAAUCAGGGACCAGAGGUGGUCCAGGACCUGGUUCUGAGACAUUAGAGCAAAAACAGUCAGUACCAAUAAUCAAUAAUCAGAGACCAGAGGUGGUCCAGGACCUGGUUCUGAGACGUUAGAGCAAAAACAGUCAGUACCAAUAAUCAAUAAUCAGAGACCAGAGGUGGUCCAGGACCUGGUUCUGAGACAUUAGAGGAAAAACAGUCAGUACCAAUAAUCAAUAAUCAGAGACCAGAGGUGGUCCAGGACCUGGUUCUGAGACGUUAGAGCAAAAACAGUCAGUACCAAUAAUCAAUAAUCAGAGACCAGAGGUGGUCCAGGACCUGGUUCUGAGACAUUAGAGGAAAAACAGUCAGUACCAAUAAUCAAUAAUCAGAGACCAGAGGUGGUCCAGGACCUGGUUCUGAGACGUUAGAGCAAAAACAGUCAGUACCAAUAAUCAAUAAUCAGAGACCAGAGGUGGUCCAGGACCUGGUUCUGAGACAUUAGAGGAAAAACAGUCAGUACCAAUAAUCAAUAAUCAGGGACCAGAGGUGGUCCAGGACCUGGUUCUGAGACAUUAGAGGAAAAACAGUCAGUACCAAUAAUCAAUAAUCAGGGACCAGAGGUGGUCCAGGACCUGGUUCUGAGACAUUAGAGGAAAAACAGUCAGUACCAAUAAUCAAUAAUCAGGGACCAGAGGUGGUCCAGGACCUGGUUCUGAGACGGUAGAGCAAAAACAGUCAGUACCAAUAAUCAAUAAUCAGGGACCAGAGGUGGUCCAGGACCUGGUUCUGAGAC